GACUGUAGUGAUGACCACUUCCCUGUGUGUGCGGGAUGCUAACCAGUGCACCUGAUGUCCUCCCCAGGAGGAUCCCAGUGGGGCAGAUUUGUGCAUCCAUCAACAAUCAAUUUUAAGGAAUUUUUUUUUUUUUAAUCACCCUGGAAAAAACCCUUCUACUCUGUGCUGAGAGAAUGCCCAGAGUUAUUUGGACCGUUAUAGUAUAAGAACGC